rnacentral:tRNA from 1 species
GUAGCUCAGCUGGUUAGAGCGCUGGUCUCAUAAGCCGGAGGUCGGGAGUUCAAGUCUCCCC